GACGGAGGGUGCGAGCGUUGUUCGGAAUCACUGGGCGUAAAGCGCGUGUAGGCGGUUUGGUAAGUCGAGUGUGAAAGCCCGAGGCUCAACCUCGGAAGUGCACUCGAAACUGUCAGGCUUGAGUACGGGAGAGGGAAGUGGAAUUCCUGGUGUAGAGGUGAAAUUCGUAGAUAUCAGGAGGAACACCGGUGGCGAAGGCGGCUUCCUGGACCGAUACUGACGCUGAGACGCGAAAGCGUGGGGAGCAAACAGG
rnacentral:rRNA from 1 species